AAAGCCACACACGGCCAGUCCCGAAAUACAAACAAGGCCAUUCAAGGCCGAAAAAAAAAAAAAUCUCUCGCAAGAGAUCUAACCCAAGUCACCCUCAGAACUUACGCCCCCUCUUCAUCCGCUGCCUCGUCCGAGCCUGGAGCCGCGUCGCUUCCGUUCUCUCCGACCAUCGGGUCUUUCCCCUCUGGGUCUUCUGAACACGUCGGAAGGAAGCAAGCGGAUUUCAGGUCAGCCAGGAUGAGAUCGAAAUCUCCAUCCUCGGCCGCCAUAUCUCCCUUGCAGCCGGACAGUCGGGCCUCUUCGGCCUCCAAGGUCGGGGGAGUCUCACUUUGGAACGACCGAACCACGGCCAUCCCGCCCUCAAUCGUCG
rnacentral:lncRNA from 1 species